rnacentral:lncRNA from 1 species
UCCGACGUAUCGUUGUUCGAAUACUCUGGGCUGAAAAUACCCAUUUCAAAGGUACCAUUUUCGGAUUCAAGUGUUUCACCGUCGUCUUUAAUGAAAUCAUCUGGAGUGAUGAUUUUCAGUGUUGAGGUUUUCAAAAUGAAGAAGAAAAAGAGAGUCGAUCACCAAAGAAUCUCUAUUAAUAAGAAGCUUUUACAUUAAUAGAAGUUACUGAUAUGAGAGUGUUGCCAUACCUUGAAAAUUUGCAAUUGCCUUGCUGCAAAACGACGAUGGUGCCUUGCUGCCUUACUGAUAUAAGAGAGGCUUUGAAAACAAUGGUGGUGCUUGCUGCCUUGCUCUCG